rnacentral:tmRNA from 1 species
GGGCCUGAUUCUGGAUUCGACGGGAUUUGCGAAACUCAAGGUGCAUGCCGAGGGGCGGUUUGCCUCGUAAAAAGCCGCAAAAAAUAGUCGCAAACGACGAAAACUACGCACUCGCAGCUUAAUAACCUGCGCAGAGCCCUCUCUCCCUAGCCUCCGCUCUUAGGACGGGGAUCAAGAGAGGUCAAACCCAAAAGAGAUCGCGUGGAGCUCCUGCCUGGGGGUGAAGCGUUAAAUCCAAUCAGGCUAGUUUGUUAGUGGCGUGUCUGUCCGCAGCUGGCAAGCGAAUGUAAAGACCAGACUAAGCAUGUAGUACCGACAGCGUAGUAAUUUCGGACGCGGGUUCAACUCCCGCCAGGUCCACCA